AACGAACGCUGGCGGCAGGCUUAACACAUGCAAGUCGAGCGCCCCGCAAGGGGAGCGGCAGACGGGUGAGUAACGCGUGGGAAUCUACCCAUCUCUACGGAAUAACGCAUGGAAACGUGUGCUAAUACCGUAUACGUCCUUCGGGAGAAAGAUUUAUCGGAGAUGGAAGAGCCCGCGGUGGAUUAGCAAGUUGGUGGGGUAAAGGCCUACCAAGGCGACGAUCCAUAGCUGGGUUUGGAGGAUGAUCAGCCAAACUGGGACUGAGACACGGCCCCGACUCCUAAGGGGGGCAGGAGUGGGGAAAAUUGGACAAUGGGCGCAAGCCUGAUCCGGCCAUGCCGCGUGAGUGAUGAAGGCCCUAGGGUUGUAAAGCUCUUUCACCGGUGAAGAUAAUGACGGUAACCGGAGAAGAAGCCCCGGCUAACUUCGUGCCAGCCGCCGCUGUAAAAC
rnacentral:rRNA from 1 species